AGCGAACGCUGGCGGCAGGCCUAACACAUGCAAGUCGAACGAAGUCUUCGGACUUAGUGGCGGACGGGUGAGUAACACGUGGGAACGUGCCUUUAGGUUCGGAAUAACUCAGGGAAACUCGUGCUGAUACCGAAUGUGCCCUUCGGGGGAAAGAUUUAUCGCCUUUAGAGCGGCCCGCGUCUGAUUAGCUAGUUGGUGAGGUAAAGGCUCACCAAGGCUACGAUCAGUAGCUGGUCUGAGAGGAUGACCAGCCACAUUGGGACUGAGACACGGCCCAAACUCCUACGGGAGGCAGCAGUGGGGAAUCUUGCGCAAUGGGCGAAAGCCUGACGCAGCCAUGCCGCGUGGAUGAUGAAGGUCUUAGGAUUGUAAAAUCCUUUCACCGGUGAAGAUAAUGACUGUAGCCGGAGAAGAAGCCCCGGCUAACUUCGUGCCAGCAGCCGCAGUAACAC
rnacentral:rRNA from 1 species